UACGUAGGUGGCAAGCGUUGUCCGGAUUUACUGGGUGUAAAGGGCGUGUAGCCGGGCUGACAAGUCAGAUGUGAAAUCCGGGGGCUCAACCCCCGAACUGCAUUUGAAACUGUUGGUCUUGUGUAUCGGAGAGGCAGGCGGAAUUCCUAGUGUAGCGGUGAAAUGCGUAGAUAUUAGGAGGAACACCAGUGGCGAAGGCGGCCUGCUGGACGACAACUGACGGUGAGGCGCGAAAGCGUGGGGAGCAAACAGG
rnacentral:rRNA from 1 species